CGUUCUUGAGUCUUCUUGUAGGUAUAGUUCUCUCUCUCUCUCUCUCUCUCUCUCUCUCAAUCCAUUAAGAACCUGUCUUGGUCUAGAUCUUGGUUGAAUUCAAUGUUGCAUUGGCUGAUUGCAUCUAUGAACUCACUUUCGUUGUGUAUCUCAUGAUCAAUGUAGAAAUGAGUAGGGUUAAGUUAGUACCUUGCUAAGUUUAGGGGGCUCAUAAGCUGUGAGUUCCAUUUCUCAUCUAUAAUUUUCAAAGGGCUAUACUUUACUUCAUCAUUGCCAAACUCCUCAUCUAUAAUUUUCAAAGGGCUAUACUUUGCUUCAUCAUUUCCUAAUAUUUUUUUGAUUUCAUCCAUGGCAAUCUCAUUGCUUUCUAAAUAUGACCUAUUGUUCCUUCUUACUAUGAACCAACUACAGUCCCUUUACUAAUAAUAGGCUAAAAAUACCUAAUACACACUGAUGCAGUCCAAAAUCGUGAGUCCAAAAGAAUAUUAACCCCUCUUUCCUAUGUGCCCUCUUAGCCCACGUGCUUUGGUCAACCCUAUACACUUUGCAUAUAGUUAUCAAUAAGAGUUGCCUCGUGUUGUGCAUCACAUCACAUCCAUGUAUGUCUUCUUUUUUAGAGGCUUUGAUGGACAUCCUUUAGAGUGCAAGUGAAAGAAUUCUCCAUCUGUUCACUUUUUUUGUGUGGUUGACUGGUGUUGUUCAUUCUUUAAACUAUUUUUAGUCAACAUUUAGUUUAUUCAGUUUGUUUAGAGUGCCAUAGACCUAACUGUGCAAGGAGAUGUCUUGUUCUAAAAUUUCCAUAAUUUGUUCUCUAACACUCAUAUUUAAAAAACAUCAUGGGUAAUGAUAGAUUGAGAUGUAUCCAACUUUGUUUUGUGCACAUGGGAGUGAGAGUGUACACAUAUUUCCAUGCUUCUUGUUUUUUAGUAGUAAUGCAUGUUAGAUCUUGUAGGCAUUGUAAGAAAUUUUUUGGGUCUGUGAUAGUCAGAUGAAAAAAAUAAAAUAAAUUAAGAUUCACAAAAUCCCAAUGAUCCAAAGAGGAGGGAGUUUGGAAAUUUGAGAUUUUGUACUCAUUCACAACUACCCUCAAUUCCCUAAUUCGAUAAAAAAGAAAACAUUAAGGUAGUUUUAACUAAUAUAAGGGCGACCUAUUGUCAAAAAUUUUGGAGUAAUUCUAAAAUCAUCAAUAGGAUAGUGCAUUCUGGUACAUAUGUAUGUAUAAAGGAAGGUGCUUCAGAAGUGCUUUAUCCAUGUUGGAAAUACGACAUAACAAGGACGGUGGAGUUUUCCCAUUGUAUUAUCUGGGCUAAAUUAGAGGUCUCAGUAUGUAUGGAAUUUCGGUGAAAUUGUAAGUAACAUUUUUUACUUCAAUUAUAAAAAACAAAAUUGCAAUUUUCUGGAUUUAGUUCCUAGCUGAUGGUGUUGGCCAUUAUAUCCUUUUGACUCACAAAGGUCAGAACUUAUAUUUGGUUAAAUUUUGAUCCACAAUAGCCAAAUAGAAGGAUAGCUUCUUCUGGACUAUUGGUUUCAAUGCUUUUACUAAGCAAGUGAUGCAUUGCCUUGUGAGCUAACAAUUGUGACAGAGGUACCAGCAAGCCAAUGAAAACAGUGAACAAACCACUACCAAGUCUUUGAGAAAAUAGGAAAUGUAGCUGCAACUUUCUGUACGAGUUCAUAUAGGAAAAUGUGGAACAUAAAGGAUGGAAAUUUGAUUUUUUUUUGUGCAUGGUUCUUUAAUACUGCAAAGAUGAAGAAAACACCCACUUUACUCAUUUAAAAAACAGAUCAAAAAGGGAAAAAAAAGCACGGAACUAUAAAUCAAGACCAAAUAUCUUGUUAAUGCUCCUGGAAUGACUGCGUCAAAUAGACACAAGUAUAACUUGAACUUUUUCAUUAAUGUUAACGAAUGGCUUUUCAUAUCCUGCUGGGCCUGCAGGACCUCACCUUGUUACGCAGCAGCUCAAUUGAUUUUGAAACUUUUGGUUCAUGAAAUAAUGUAUCAAAUUUUACGGUGAAGAUGGAGGAUUGGGGAUUAUAUGCAUGCUGAUGAGUGUGGCAUGCUGCUGGACGUCAAUAUGUGUUAGAAGGCUUAUCAUCUUAAACAAGGGAGUCUAAAGUGGAAAUAGUCAAGUCUUUUGGAAGAACAUGAAGCUUUUCUCAGUGGUAGAGCUGGGAUUUACCCUAGCAGCACUUGCUCAUGUUUGACACAAUGCCAUGACGGAUGAAAAGAACAGUAAGUUAUGCCAGCAGUGGUGGUCUGGCUGUUCAAGCAUUUCAGGCAUAUUUUCAGCUUAGCAGCCUUUGCUACAUGAGGCUUGUGUGCUUGCUGUACAGGAACAUGCAUGCUUUGGAAUUUCACCGCCAUCAUCAUGCAUGGAGGACAUAUCACUUUUAUUGAAGUCCAUCCCGAAGUAUACUAUAGAGGUGAAUGCAAAUUGUAGAGUUAAAAGUUCCUGAACUCUGAGUGAUCUGGGCUGACCUGAUUGCUGAUUGGCAAGCAUGGGAAGAAGUGAAGGACAUGUCCAUCUUUGAUGCCAUAAAACAAGUUGUUCAUUUCCAUGGAAGAUGCUGAAUAAAGAGAGUUGCUAGCCCCACCUGCACCUCCUAUUUCCUAACGUUCAAUAAUCGAAGGCAUCGAUACAUUUAUCAGCGAGUCAUGGAAGGACCCUCUGCUGCAACAUGGAGAGCUUGCUCUUGUGCGCAUGUUUUGCUCGAUUUGCCAAGGUUCUCAUUUGAAACUGAAAGAAUUAAAUUGGCAUUAGCAAUUGCUUUUAAAAAGCCACAUUUUCAUGUUCUCUUGACAUUCGAAGCAAGCCAGUGGCUUUGUAGAAGCCUCUUUUUCUGUUUUUUACAUCUUGUAUAUAUUUUGCCUUGAUUAUAUAAUAACUUUUUGGAGAA